rnacentral:rRNA from 1 species
GAUGAACGCUGGCGGCGUGCUUAACACAUGCAAGUCGAACGGAAAGGCUCCUGCUUGGAGGGGUGCUCGAGUGGCGAACGGGUGAGUAACACGUGGGUGAUCUGCCCUGGACUUCGGGAUAAGCCUGGGAAACUGGGUCUAAUACCGGAUAGGACCAUGGUUUGGAUGCCAUUGUGUGGAGUUUUUCGGUGUGGGAUGAGCUCGCGGCCUAUCAUCUGGUUGUGGGGGGAGGGGCCUACCAAGGCGGCGACGGGAGGCCGGCCUGAGAGGGGGUACGGCCACAUGGGGCUGGAGAGCGGGCCCAGCGUCAGACGGGGGGCAGAGGGGGGGAAUAUUGAGCAAGGGGCGCAGGCCGGAGGCAGAGACGCCGGGGGGGGGAGGACGGCUUUCGGGUUGUAAACUCCUUUCGCUAGGGACGAAGCGCAAGGGACGGUACCGGGAGAAGAAGCACCGGCUAACUACGU